rnacentral:rRNA from 1 species
AAGGUCUCCGGAUUGUAAACUCCUUUUGGAGGGGAAGAAUGUCUACGUGAAAAACGUAGAGUGACGGUACUCUCUGAAUAAGCCACGGCUAACUACGUGC